AGAAAAACUCCCGAAAAAGCAGGAGAAGAAAAACUCUGACGACCUCCACUUCUCCCACGACCUGCCAGUCUCAUCUCACAUCUCCUCAUCUCUCCCUCUUUCCCGCGACCAACCCUGCACCCUCCCUCCGAUCAAACUCCUACGUCGUCCCCGCUAUCGUCGGUUCUCCCUCUCUCCCUGAUUGUUCCCAAUCGAUCUCUGAGCCACCACGAUUCCCAAAUCCAUCUCCUUGCUCCCCACCCUACCCAUGGCGCCGUCGACGCCGACGGGCUACUACAAGUGCGGUCCAACCCAAUCCCCAACCCUGUCGUACGCACCUGCCACUUCGGCCCUACCACCAGAGACGGACACCCAAGUUCGUUGCGACGCCGGAGGGUGAGGAGGCGCAGCACGAAGGCGGGAAGGAGGGGGAGACGCGACCCAAUCUCAGGCCGAACCUGCUCCUCUCUGACAGCGGCUUGGGCUUCGUCCUCUGAUAAUUCUCCGAGACGGCCAUGCCCCACCCAGCCACGAGCUCAAACAACUCAAGUUUCAAUCAAUCCUGGUCUGCUGAUAUGGAGAGCGCAAGACCUGGUCUUUGGUUCCUGGAACAAGUGAUUUUAUUGCCUUAUAAUUAUUUCCAUCUCAUUUCCCAAUACGGAUGAUCAGAUUUUACAGGUUAUUAGGGGGUAUCCCAAUGGAUAGGACGCCCGCGGGUGGCUGUCGGCUUGAGCUGGUGCGGUACCAUCACGAAUAUCGGGAUGGGUGGACGGGGAGGAAGGGUGGAAGCCAGGGCGACAUUGGGAAAAAACACGGGCCAUCAGCAGACAAGCAAUAAAUGGUUCUUGAGCAGCACACAAGCAAGAAAUGGUGCUUGAGGUUGUAGGGCCGAGCAGAUAUACACGAGCGGUACGCAUCUCAUUUUCUUCGUCAGGUUCUAAAUGAUCCCUCGAGUUUGCAUCCAUUUGUAUUUACGUUACGAAAUCAUAUAUUCAUGGUUUAUCUCCCUUUUAAGGGUCUAGCUAAACUAAAGUGAAUACCAUUAUGUAACCAAUUUUGUAAAUUGAGUUUGAGCUUGAACAAAGAAAAGUUUACCAAAUAACACAUAAUGGGACUUAUAUUUCGGGAGAUAUUGGAGUACCACCCUCAGCUUCUCAAGGAUUACAUGAACGGCUUUGAAAAAAUGAGCUUUCUAUAUGCCGGGUUUCUGUGACAUGCUUGUAAACUUUUUUCUCUUUUAUUUUGUUUAUGUAGCAACAUUCACAACUUCUGCCAUUGGUUCUUGAUUUUUUUGCUAUGAAGUGAUGUUGACAAUUUCUAGAGGCAAUUCGCUGACUUAGAAGAUGAUAUUGCAAAGAGCAAGGCAGUCAACAUGAAGCAUGUUUAUCUCGCAAGGACUACAAGAUCUGAAAAAUUAAAUACAAGCAGGACUCAACAGUUCACUCUACUAUGAUUCCUCCAACAAAUUAUCUUCCUUAUUCCUCCCAAGUUCCUCAAAGGAUUCCAACAGGUGUUUAUUAGCAUUCUGUCACAUACUGACCUGGUAUUAUUUUUCCCAUUUAACUUCAAACAGCAUCAGUCGAACUAUUUCGCCUUUGUCACUCUCGCAGCAAGACCAGAUAGAGUGGCUUUCUCAGCGACAUCAAUGCAAAAUGCAAGUAUCACCGAUGGACGCAUUGGAUGAAUAGGGCUAAGGGAAUUGAAGUUAUACUACUCUUGCAUGCAACAACACCUGCAGGGGACACGUAAACACUCCAGGCACGCAAGGUCACAUCGGAGGAUGGCAUGCUGUCCUCCGACUAUUACGAUUCCACCAUUCAGCAGCAUGGCCAGGGCGGGUGGAUACAACAUGGUUGCUGUGGCCGCAAGGAUGUACUACGACAAGGGUCGGGCAAGCUUGCGGGGUCGAGCAUGAGAAGGGAGCACGAGAACGGCUACAGUUCCUGUUCCAGGCAGAGGUUCAGGGUGCAGGGCCACAUGCCUAACCAAUAUAUGGCCUCUUGUGAACUUCCAUUCUCUCGGUUGUGCGCUACUACAUCCGGUCGCUCUGAGACAAAGGAGACGAUGGUGGCCAAAGAAACAUCAUCCCCAACUCAGAGCUCCAAAUCUUGUGUCUUGACAUGGAAAGAUUCGGACCUUGAGGAUUGGAGUUUGAACGAGAUGCAUUUGGUGUGAGAGAAAGAUGUCUCACAUGCUCUGUUGACAAGGAUGAGUGGGUUGGCGCUGUGUCAGCACAUGAUACUAUACAAGCUAUCAUUUGCGGUUUUUCCUUCCAGGUUAUCAGUGUUAUUUAGUACAAUGAAGAUCUUAAUUUUUGCUAUAUUUUUUGUAUUUUUGUCCUGAUACACCAUUUAGGUUGCGAUAGUGGUAGAAAGACACUUAACUUGUCCUUAACCCGAUGGCGAAGGAGAUGUCCCAUGGGGAGGAAAAGGAGUGGAUGCUUGGUUGUUGUGGAAAAGGGAAACAGGGAGAAUGGCGUCGAUAUUCAGCAAGAAUAAACCGAAUGCUUGA